GCUACGGUCGGUCGUCUGCUCGUUGAAAAAGUGAUCCGAGUUUUUGCGCCAAAUCUCUUCUGUUAGAGCUGCCAAACUUGACCACUAUGCACUACACGAACCAAAACCUUGUUCUGUUCAUCCAUCAUCGCCAAUGCCUCAGCACCAAGUGCUUCUUUCUGUAGAUGAGAAGAAAGUUGGGAUAUUGAGUGAAGCUGGAGAAGACACCGGCAACGUUGUUAUUGUCGCAUCCAACAAACAUGAGCAAGAAAAGACCAAACACACACCCAGUCAGG